rnacentral:rRNA from 1 species
CCUACGGGUGGCAGCAGUGGGGGAUAUUGCACAAUGGGGGAAACCCUGAUGCAGCGACGCCGCGUGGGUGAAGAAGUAUUUCGGUAUGUAAAGCCCUAUCAGCAGGGAAGAAAGAAGACGGUACCUGACUAAGAAGCCCCGGCUAACUACGUGCCAGCAGCCGCGGUAAUACGUAGGGGGCGAGCGUUAUCCGGAUGCACUGGGUGUAAAGGGAGCGUAGACGGCCGUGCAAGCCAGGAGUGAAAGCCCGGGGCCCAACCCCGGGACUGCUCUUGGAACUGUGCGGCUGGAGUGCGGGAGGGGCAGGCGGAAUUCGUGGUGUAGCGGUGAAAUGCGUAGAUAUCAGGAGGAACACCGGCGGCGAAGGCGGCCUGCUGGACCGCGACUGACGUUGAGGCUCGAAAGCGUGGGGAGCGAACAGGAUUAGAUACCCCAGUAGUC